rnacentral:lncRNA from 1 species
GCAUUUUUUUAACACAACCGAAAAUGGUACAACAUCAACUCUCGGCAAAGGCGUCGGAUGGAUCCCGGGAUUCCACCCAUGUCCGCAGUAUCAUUUACACUUGGUGUAAUUGGCAACAUCCUUGCAAUUUGUGUAUUAUUUCGAGCUAAAAAACGACACAGAUGGAGAGUGUUUUACAGAUUUGUCAUAGCCUUAGCUUUUACGGAUCUAUUUGGUAUUAUCACAAAACUCCUGUGGUUUUUGCCGUUUUUUCUGGAAAACUUAGAUUAUGGGAGAGUGUACGUUAUGCCAUUACAUGGCGUUCAUGAUGAUAUUUGCCGGACUAGCAACAGUUCUUUUGGUUGGUGCCAUGGCUUUGGACAGAUAUUUUGCCAUUAUUCAUCCAUUCAAAUAUAAUACUAUUGAUAGAUAUACCAUAGUUAAUUGUUCUAUAUUUGGAAUAUUGAGUUUUUCCGUUCUUAUAGCUGUAUUGCCUGUGUUUGGCCUUGGAGAAAACGUCGUGCACUAUCCAACUUCAUGGUGCUUUUUUAAUUUCUUUGGUCACGAAGUUGAAGACCAAAUAUAUGGAUAUUUUUAUUCAGUACUAGGACUUUUUAUCAUUUUUGUGACGGCUCUUCUGAAUUUCCGUGUAAUUAUAGGAAUUAUCUCCGGGAGAAGAAGUACUGCUAGACGCGGAAGUAUAAGAACCAAAAAUCAAGAUCUAGAAAUGACAUUUUUAUAACUAUUUUCUUAGUAGCGAUAUUUCUUGUAUUUACCAUUUGCUGGGCACCGUUUAUGGUAAGGGUUUAAUCACAUUUAUCUAUAAGUUUUAUUUUCAAUUCAGAUACAAAAUAUGUCGUUAUAUAUUUGUACACAUUCUGAAAACUGACCAAACAUAUAAGGAUGAAAAUCUGUUUUCAAUCAUAUACAUGCAUGUAACUAUUUUUACACGCAUUUAACCUUCAUCUGGAUCAUCUCAAGGUUGAAAGGAAUGAAAGGCGAAAUUUAAUAAAAAAAAAAAUGCAAAUUAAAAGAUACGUAAUAGAAUAAGUAAAACCGUUUCAAAAUGAGGUAUUGAAUUCAUAGAUUGGUUCAUGUAACUUAAACAUAUGGUUUGUGCAUAGUUAUUCAAUCAAACAAUAUUAAAACGAAAUUUCAACUUAAACUUGAAAUCUAUCGUUUGAAUAUUUUUUUUGAAUGAUAAAUUGAUUUUACAGUGUGAAGAUUUCAGAGGUGUAACAAAAAUAAAAGGUUGAAUAUAUUUUGUCUUACUUUUUAAGCGAAAAAAACAUAUUCAUUAUCAAGUAAAAUAUUUGUUAAAUAUUAUAUGAAAUCUACAACUUUUGACUAGAUUCAUUAUAUAUGUAUAUAUAUAUAUAUAAUUUCGUCGAAUACAUUACAUCUAAAAUUUAUGUAUUCCUCGUAUUGUGGAAGCGAAAUUUACUAUUAUAUGAACAAGAUAUAUAUUACAAUAUUUCAAUUUCAGAUAAGACUAAUCAUUAACCAAAGCCGUACUGUUAAACGUAACAAUAAAGCAGACUUGAAUGCUUUAAUCCUUGCAAGCUGGAACCAAGUCCUUGACCCCUGGGUUUAUCUUUUAUUCAGACAUGAGAUGCUCAAGCGAUUUGUCCAUUUGGUCGAAAAAUCCCGAGGAGGA